rnacentral:rRNA from 1 species
CUGACGGAGCAACGCCGCGUGAGUGAUGAAGGUUUUCGGAUCGUAAAACUCUGUUGUUAGGGAAGAACAAGUACCGGAGUAACUGCCGGUACCUUGACGGUACCUAACCAGAAAGCCACGGCUAACUACGUGCCAGCAGCCGCGGUAAUACGUAGGUGGCAAGCGUUGUCCGGAAUUAUUGGGCGUAAAGCGCGCGCAGGCGGUUCCUUAAGUCUGAUGUGAAAGCCCACGGCUCAACCGUGGAGGGUCAUUGGAAACUGGGGAACUUGAGUGCAGAAGAGAAGAGUGGAAUUCCACGUGUAGCGGUGAAAUGCGUAGAGAUGUGGAGGAACACCAGUGGCGAAGGCGACUCUUUGGUCUGUAACUGACGCUGAGGCGCGAAAGCGUGGGGAGCAAACAGGAUUAGAUACCCUGGUAGUCCACGCCGUAAACGAUGAGUGCUAAGUGUUAGAGGGUUUCCGCCCUUUAGUGCUGCAGCAAACGCAUUAAGCACUCCGCCUGGGGAGUACGGCCGCAAGGCUGAAACUCAAAGGAA